GAGUUCUCAGCGCCUCCCGCCGCGCAGGCUCGGCGUUGGCCUCCGCGGCCCGUGCGAGUGCGCCCUUCUCGGGUCCCCUAGGUCGCGGGGCAGCCGGGGCGGAAGGGGCUUGUUCAUUAUUUUGAGAGUUUGUUGUGAACGUCAUAACCUUUCGUCCUUAAAUAUUGCCGAUACUUGACCUACGCAAGAGACAAUGUCAUGUGAUUCAGCCUAAUAUCUCAGAGGAUGCAGCAUUCAAGGUUCUAUCUUGGAAGCAGAGACUGUGCCCUCACCAGAUGCUGAACCUGCUGAGCACCCUGAUCUUCCACUUCACCUUCAUCAGAACUGUUUUCGUAUCAGGAUGAUGCUGGCCUCAUACAAUGAGUUAGGGACGCGCAUGAAAUUUGGUGCCGUGACUCGGAUCGGCGGACCUCCCUUAGGAGAUCAAUCCCCUGUCCUCCUGCUCUUUGCUCCAUGAGAAAGAUCCACCUACGACCUAAGGUCCUCAGACCAACCAGCCCAAGAAACAUCUCACCAAUUUCAAAUCCGAAAUCCUUCAUCUAAUCUGGCAAACACAUGUGGCAGGUUUUUCUCACCGCAUAAAAUAUGUUAUAGAGUAGUCCAUCUAUUUCUCUUCCAUGGAAGAGUUCAUCUGGUAGAUUGGACUACCACUUUUCCUUGUGGAGACCUAUUCUGUUGGGUUAGAGAUGACAGAAAAUCUUAUUUGUCGGUUGGUUUGUUUGUUCAAGAAUACACUGACCUUCUACAAGAAAGGAGAGCUCUUUGACACCUGGAAAUUUUACAGAAGCUUGGGACAGCUCUGAAUGGCAACACGGUCCUGAGAUAUGUGAUUACCUGGGACUUUCAUUGGACCUGCAUUUCAGCUCUACUCUCCUCACUGCCCUAUGCUGCUUUGACCCUAAAAGUGAAGCCAGCUUGGCCAGGUGCAGUGACUCACACCUGUAAUCCCAGCACUUUGGGAGGCCGAGGUGGGCAAAUCAAGAAGUCAGGAAAUCGAGACCACCCUGGCCAACAUUGUGAAACACCAUCUCUACUAAAACACAAAAAAAUUAGCCAGGUGUGGUGGCACGCACCUGUAGUCCCAGCUACUCGGGAGGCUGAGGCAGGGGAAUCACUUGAACCCGUGAGGAGGAAAUUGCAGCGAGCCAAGAUCGCGCCACUGCACCCCAGCCUGGGCGACAGAGAGAGACUCCAUCUCAAAAACAAAACAAAACAAAACAAAAAAAACAAAAAGUGAAGCCAACUCAAUUGUCUCAUAGAACUGAUCUUUACGGUGUUUUUAAAUAAACAUAGAAAUUGGCCCUCCCAGUCUUAAAACUUCAAAAACUUACAUUUGUCUUACCUCAGUUCCUUUCUCAGGAAUCCAAUCAUCAAGGCUCCCAGAUAGUAUCAAUGAACGGAAACUUACCAGAUCACGAUAUCUGGACAAUGAGAUGUCAGAUCCCCCUCAUCCAUCCUGAUUACCUAACUGACUACCUGCUUCCUGUUGGCCAACUACUCUUCCUUACCCCUCCCUAAUUCUUGUUUUCCCACAAAUGGUUACAUUUCUGUCCUGCUAUAGAAGCCCUUAAUUUUAAUUGGUCGAGGAGAUGGAUUUGAGACUGAUUUUUUGCUCUCCUUGGCUGUUGCACCUGAAUAGCCUUUUUCCCUGGCAAUACUUUUUGUCUCAGUGAUUGGCUUUCUGUGCAGUGAGCAAUGGGACCAAACUUCUGGUGUUUUGGUAACAAAUUUUGGUUUCCUGACUGUGAAUGCAUUGCUUGUGACUCAGCUGCCAUGAGCUGGGAGAGUUUCAAAAGCCCUCUAAGCAGCUACCUGACCAUUUUGGCCAGAGGUGGAUUUUCGUCUCUCCCCAUUUGGGCCCACUUCUGCCAACCCCAACCAUGUUCCUGAUUGCCUAGGAAGAACAGCCUUUGAAAUUUGACGUCUAUGUACAGAAAGACUGAGGUUGACUGUGAGGUAACUGAAACCACGGAAAGCAAAACUGCCAACAAGAAUGAAUAGGGAGGACCACAAGACAUUUGUCACAUUCCACCAUAGCCUACUUCCAUAUUUGAGAGG
ensembl:lncRNA LINC00882 long intergenic non-protein coding RNA 882